AUUGAACGCUGGCGGCAGGCCUAACACAUGCAAGUCGAACGGUAGCACAGAGGAGCUUGCUCCUUGGGUGACGAGUGGCGGACGGGUGAGUAAUGUCUGGGAAACUGCCCGAUGGAGGGGGAUAACUACUGGAAACGGUAGCUAAUACCGCAUAACGUCUUCGGACCAAAGUGGGGGACCUUCGGGCCUCACACCAUCGGAUGUGCCCAGAUGGGAUUAGCUAGUAGGUGGGGUAAUGGCUCACCUAGGCGACGAUUCCUAGCUGGUCUGAGAGGAUGACCAGCCACACUGGAACUGAGACACGGUCCAGACUCCUACGGGAGGCAGCAGUGGGGAAUAUUGCACAAUGGGCGCAAGCCUGAUGCAGCCAUGCCGCGUGUAUGAAGAAGGCCUUCGGGUUGUAAAGUACUUUCAGCGGGGAGGAAGGCGUUAAGGUUAAUAACCUUGGCGAUUGACGUUACCCGCAGAAGAAGCACCGGCUAACUCCGUGCCAGCAGCCGCAGUAA
rnacentral:rRNA from 1 species